UCAACCUGUCUCUUAGAGACAGGUUGCUACUACUAGGCUGCUUAAGGAAGUCUUACCCUUAGCUAGCUUCUGUAUUCUGUAUUAACUUAUGUAUUAGAUAUGAUCAAUCUGUCUUUACUAACAGGCUAUGUACCUCAGUCCUUUAAUGUUGCUGUAAUUAAACCUCUUCUUAAGAAGCCUACUCUUGAUUCAGGCAUUUUAGCCAAUUAUAGACCCAUAUCUAAUCUUCCAUUUCUUUCUAAGAUCCUUGAGAAAGCAGUUGCUAGACUUUCUACAUAACUUUGAUUGUGUUAACUUAUCUUUGAUUCUUAAGGAAAAUAAGAGACAGACUCCCUGGAUUCCUAAGUUUAUAAGAGCAUACCCCCAGCCUGCAGAACUGACCUUUGUAACCCUCUAAGUGGGGGUUUGAUCAGUGAUGCUCAACAGACUCAGAAAACCUCCUAAGAAACUAUUUCGGUAAGUUGAAGUAUGAUACGAACUAAAAGCAUGAAAUGACCCUAAAAGCCACUUGGACCGGAGGAAAACGACUCCCACCUUAUAGAUGGAAGACAGGCUCUUAUCACCAAAGCCAUAAGCUAACCCACACCCUGAGGACUUUGUGAAGCCUCCCUGCAAAUCUGAGGCAAACCCGAAAUUAAUGUAAAUUAAAUGUCUAAUCAUUAUGCAACUUAUAUCAUGUUAUUUGUCAUGUAAAUACAAGAAAAAUGAUAUAACUUUCAUAGGUGUAUGACUAUCUACUAAAGAGAUAUAAGACUUUAUUAACCUUUUAUACUACAGGUAACAGUACUGCUCUCUAUUGACAAGAGUUAAACUCCCUUAUUUGAAGAGUUAAUGAAUGUUUGAUAAUCAUGUAUUUGUAUUUUAAAAUCAACCAAGUGUUUAACCUCAUAGACAAUCAUGUUUUAGUAGUUAAAUUAAAUAAGUAAUUGUGUUGAAAGAAUGAAGUUUCUGAGGUAAUAGGAAUAUAAAUAUAUAAUAUUUGAAGGAUUUGAGUUUAGAGUUUUCUUUUAUUGUUAAACAAUAGUCACAUUGAAUGGUUUUAUAUUAUGAAGUAAGGGUUAUGUUCAACUUAUAUUUAAAUAUGUUUCUGAAAGUAAUCCAAUCAGUAAUCUAAUAAGUGUUGCCUCACUUUAUUUCCUUUCACUAUAGUAUUAAACUUUAUUUCAGUAGAUGCUUUAAGAUGUGUAAAUAGUUUGAGAAAGUUGAAUCAAUGAAGGUUGUAUGCUUAGACAUGAAGUGUUAAUGUUUGUUAUUAAGAGAACGGACUUAUUAUGAAGCAUAUGUAAACUGCUUAACACUAGAACGGCCACGGCGGUCAUUUUGACCAUUUUAAAAUUUAUAUGUGCAAUAACUUUGUUGAAUAAAAAAAAUACAAUUCUGCUGGUGUAUGACUUUUCCUAAAAGAGUCUGUAUUUUCAUUCUAAAUGUUUUUUAUAUAAAUCACACAAAAGGCAAAGAAGAUAUGAUCAUUUCUACCUAUUUCGGCUAUAUGCGGUCAUUCAAGUUCAUCUUUCCCACGGUUAAUGUUGCAAUUUUGGUUGCUUAGCAACUGUCACUGUCACGUCACUAGCGGUCUCUAGUGAUACUUGCAAACACUAAUUUGCUAACAAAUACAAACAACUGUAUUUGUACGAUUGUAUUUAUCUACAUUGGAGUUAUAAGGAGACUUUAGACAAUGUCUGAAAUGAAUGAACGAAAGAAAAGAAAGAUGACAACUGCCAUGGCCUUGGAGAUGCUUCACAACUUGGACAGCAACGAUUCUGAUGGAGGGGAUCUGUCAGAGGUGGAAAGUGACAGCGACCUUUCCUAGGUGAAUGAAAAUACUUCAUCCUCAGAGAGUGAGUCAGAGUCAAUACCGAGGGAAAGGAGUCAGCUUUCAUCGGAGACUAUGGAUCCAGAUGUUCCGUUCACUGACGUACCAGCGCUGUUGUUCACACUACGAUACCUGACAGGCGUUGCACUCCUGCUGCACCUGCAGUGAAGUUAGCUCGGCACCAAGCCAGCAAACGUCAUCGAUUCUCUUAUGGUAAGUAACAUUAACGCUAACCUUAGUCUCUCUUGUUUUUGUUAUAUUCUCGCAUUUUUACACAGAUAUAUAUAUACUUUUAAUUGUAAUUGAACAAUUAAAAAUACGAUACUUUUAAUUGUUCAUGUUCUGAGUUAUGUUCAAUGAAUUCUCUACGGAAAAAUACUGGUGUGAAUAUAUGCAAUAAUUACGAUUUACGAUGUUAUGAAAAUUGAUAAAUGAGUAAUUAAACUUGUUAAAAUAUA